rnacentral:SRP_RNA from 1 species
AAUUGGCAAGUUGGACGCGAUACUUGAAAAAUCGGUCAGGUUGGAAACAAAGCAGCCGUAUUGAGUUUUCGUGGGUCAGCUUGUCAAUUAUU